UACAGAGGUGACAAGCGUUGUUCGGAAUUACUGGGCGUAAAGGGCGCGUAGGCGGUUCGUUAAGUCCUGUGUGAAAUCCCCCGGCUCAACUGGGGAACUGCACAGGAAACUAGCGGGCUUGAGUUCGGGAGAGGGAAGCGGAAUUCCGGGUGUAGCGGUGAAAUGCGUAGAUAUCCGGAGGAACACCGGUGGCGAAGGCGGCUUCCUGGACCGACACUGACGCUGAGGCGCGAAAGCUAGGGGAGCAAACGGG
rnacentral:rRNA from 1 species